CUGGGUUCCUAAAACAUUAUCUCAGUCGGUUCUAACAAAACCUGUGAGGUAGGCAAAGCAGUGAGAGAUUCAACAUGAGCAAACAGUAAUUCCAUCCCUUCCCAAAUGAGGGAACAACAGGGAGGUCUUAAAAUUGAUUUACUUUGACACUUGUUUGUGCCUGUUGGAAUGUAUGUAAGCUUUUUGAAGAUAGGAACUUAAGGAAGGAGACUGAGUCUACUAGCCAAGUGUAUUACUUUUAAUAUUUUUCCUCAAAAUAUUAUUUAUUUAUUUACUGUCUAUUUUUCAAGAAGACUGUAAGCUCCACUUAUAUUCCCAGAACUCAACCCUAAAUAAUAAGUGAAUAAGUGAAUAAAGGAUGGACGAGAGAUACUAUAUGUAAAGCUCUAGUGACAUAUGAGGAUAUGGUAUGGGACUAAUGUAUAGAUCCUUUUUAAAGGCAAUAACUUUGAUUCACAUAAAGUCAAAUUACCACUAUCAUUAUAUUAUCAUUAGUAUGGUUGUUGUAACCAUAUGCACAAGAAUGUACAUAAUCUAGGCUAAAAUGGGACUUCGAGUUGUUUACUGAGCACUAUAUAGAUUGGCAUUGUUUGGAAUGGGCCUGAUCAGAGUCUUUUAGGGCUUUAUAAUUUUUUAUUUCAAACUGAGUAGCCCAAAUUCUCACCUCUAUAUCUUCAUACACACUCAUGGCUGUCAUAACUUUCUAGUGAUAAAUGCCUAAUUCACAUCUCUAAUUCUUUUUCAUAAAGUCCUUGUAUCUAUUUCAAUGCCAUUGAACCCAAUAUAUGUCAUUCUUUUGAAAGCAUUUAAUAAAAUAUUUACUCUCAUUCAGAGGUAGAAUAUUUGUCCAUUGAAGACUAACAGCGUUAGUGGUGUUUUGAGAUAUUAAACAAUUUCAUUUAGGGGACAAUAAAAUUUGGGGCCAAUUAGCAACAAAAUCAGAAGGACCCAUUAUUAUAUUGGCUAUAGAGUGAAUUCCUGUCACUUUAACAUCCAAGUGGGAAGAUUAGGUGAUUAUUCCAAGUUUUCAAUUUGGGCUUACAUGUUUGCCCUCAGAUGGAAAAAUCUCCCAGUCACAUAGAAUUCCUACAUUCACAUGCUUUAAAAAGCUCUGGCCUUACCUUUUCCACACUGGCUGCCAUGGAAACCUGCUGGACAAAUGCACUGUCCACUUGCUGCAUCACAACUGGCUCCAUUUUUGCAGUCACAGAUGUGAGCACAAUUCAAACCAUAAAAUCCAGGAAGGCAUGCUAGAAAAUGGAAAUGUCAAAACGCUAUUUUGGUACUUUAAGAAUAAAUAAAGGGAAAAUGAAAGGAUAUGCUCUAGGUCAUUUGUUUUUCAGGACCAAAGGAGAUGAGAGCAGAGAAUAGGAAAGCAAGAAAAAGUUAUAUGGAGAAGCAUAUUGACAAUAGUUUAGUCAUACAGAUAAGUGAAUAUGCAAGUGCCAUUCUCUACAACUAGUCUAGAAAAAUUCAUAAUAAAAUUUAAAAUAGUUUCAAGUAGAUGAAGUUUAUUUGCCAUGCUAUGCUAUAGUCAGCCAAAGACUUCAACAAAAUCUUCCAAUAAUCCAAAUUCCU